rnacentral:rRNA from 1 species
UACAGAGGGUGCAAGCGUUAAUCGGAAUUACUGGGCGUAAAGCGCGCGUAGGCGGUUGUGUAAGUUGGAUGUGAAAGCCCCGGGCUUAACCUGGGAACUGCAUUCAAAACUGCACGGCUAGAGUAUUGGAGAGGAAGGUAGAAUUCCAGGUGUAGCGGUGAAAUGCGUAGAGAUCUGGAGGAAUACCGAUGGCGAAGGCAGCCUUCUGGCCAAAUACUGACGCUGAGGUGCGAAAGCAUGGGGAGCAAACAGGAUUAGAAACCCCAGUAGU